AUUGAACGCUGGCGGAAUGCUUUACACAUGCAAGUCGAGCGGUAGAGGGGGCAACCCCUCGAGAGUGGCGAACGGGUGAGUAAUAUAUCGGAACGUGCCCAGUCGUGGGGGAUAACGUAGUGAAAAUUACGCUAAUACCGCAUACGAUCUAAGGAUGAAAGCGGGGGAUCGCAAGACCUCGCGCGAUUGGAGCGGCCGAUAUCAGAUUAGGUAGUUGGUGGGGUAAAGGCUCACCAAGCCAACGAUCUGUAGCUGGUCUGAGAGGACGACCAGCCACACUGGAACUGAGACACGGUCCAGACUCCUACGGGAGGCAGCAGUGGGGAAUUUUGGACAAUGGGCGCAAGCCUGAUGCAGCCAUGCCGCGUGUAUGAAGAAGGCC
rnacentral:rRNA from 1 species